rnacentral:rRNA from 1 species
UACGUAGGGGGCAAGCGUUGUCCGGAUUUAUUGGGCGUAAAGAGCGUGUAGGCGGCCAGAUAGGUCCGUUGUGAAAGUCCAAGGCUCAACCUUGGGAUGCCGGUCGAUACUGCCGGACUAGAGUUCGGAAGAGGCGAGUGGAAUUCCCGGUGUAGCGGUGAAAUGCGCAGAUAUCGGGAGGAACACCUAUGGCGAAGGCAGCUCGCUGGGACGUUACUGACGCUGAGGAGCGAAAGCGUGGGUAGCAAACAGG